UACGUAGGGACCAAGCGUUGUUCGGAUUUACUGGGCGUAAAGGGCGCGUAGGCGGCAAUUCAAGUCAGCUGUGAAAUCUCCGGGCUUAACUCGGAACGGUCAGCUGAUACUGUUUUGCUAGAGUGCAGAAGGGGCAAUCGGAAUUCUCGGUGUAGCGGUGAAAUGCGUAGAUAUCGAGAGGAACACCUGCGGCGAAGGCGGGUAGCUGGGCCGACACUGACGCUGAGGCGCGAAAGCCAGGGGAGCGAACGGG
rnacentral:rRNA from 1 species